UUGAACGCUGGCGGCAGGCCUAACACAUGCAAGUCGAGCGGUAGAGAGAAGCUUGCUUCUCUUGAGAGCGGCGGACGGGUGAGUAAUGCCUAGGAAUCUGCCUGGUAGUGGGGGAUAACGUUCGGAAACGGACGCUAAUACCGCAUACGUCCUACGGGAGAAAGCAGGGGACCUUCGGGCCUUGCGCUAUCAGAUGAGCCUAGGUCGGAUUAGCUAGUUGGUGGGGUAAUGGCUCACCAAGGCGACGAUCCGUAACUGGUCUGAGAGGAUGAUCAGUCACAGUGGAACUGAAACACGGUCCAGACUCCUACGGGAGGCAGCAGUGGGGAAUAUUGGACAAUGGGCGAAAGCCUGAUCCAGCCAUGCCGCGUGUGUGAAGAAGGUCUUCGGAUUGUAAAGCACUUUAAGUUGGGAGGAAGGGCAGUAAAUUAAUACUUUGCUGUUUUGACGUCACCGACAGAAUAAGCACCGGCUAACUCUGUG
rnacentral:rRNA from 1 species